GUGUAACCAAGAUGCGUCCGGAAAAUACUUGUAUAAGUAAAUACAGAGAAUUUGUUUAAAACAUUUUUUUACCAGACAACGUGUACGGAGUGCUAUGCAGCAGUGAGAACAGUGUCGAGAAGCACCUGGAGAUGGGGAAGAAGCUCCUGGCUGCCGGACAGCUGGCCGACGCACUUUCCCAUUUCCACGCAGCUGUUGGAUAGCCCAGAAGAAGCUCAUUAAAGCCUACAGGAG